rnacentral:piRNA from 1 species
GACAGCUGAUCAGUUGUAGAGUCCU